GCUUUUGUUUCUUGUCGUUCCUUGCAGGAAGGAUUUUCGCUGAGUUUUUGUUGCUUGUUGCUUUGCUUUUUCAAAGUAAACUGAUGACGGGAACGAAAUGCGUCGCGUAUUUAUAGCAGCUCGGUGGUGGCUCUCGAUUACGCGCGCGCUGGUGCGUGCGAGAGAGAUAGCAGGUUUGGGCACGCCAAGGAAACUUCUGGCUCUGGGUAAAGUUGAAUAAUUUUGCCAAUGUUCUGGAAAGCGCUCGAAUGUGUGUAUGUACGUGAUGCUUCAUUAUCUAGCAACGAAAGUGAGAGUGUUUCGCUGAGAUAGCAACAGCAGCAGUUAAAGAGCGAGUAAAGUGAUAACAGAAAAAAUAAA